GUUUGGGAGAAAUCUCUAUUUCAAUCUAUUCCUGUAUGUUAGUUAUUGAAAAACAACAGACAAUCACAAAAACGGGUUGACCUUUUUGUAUUCCUUGAGCCCAGUUAUGAAGGGCCCCCGUGACUGGGCCUCAUGCCAAACAACUUGUUACAAAAAGAGCUAGGGUCCCAGACCGUGCGGAAGCUUCAUGAGACCUCUCCUAGUCUGUGCACGGACAGGCGGCAGACUCUGGAGCCCAGGCUGUUGCUUCCCGGUCUGGUGAUGCUUCCUCCAUAGUCUGACUAUUUAAUCAGCAGGCAGAUCAACAAGCUCAAAUUUCCACAUUACUGCAGAAUCGGGCCUGGGAGAACAGGACUGGGCUGCACUCACGCGAUGGGUGCAUCACAGAGAAUAACUCUCCUGUUGAUGGCCAGCACCUGAAUUCUCCUUUCUGAGGCAGAUAACAAAUUCAUCAAUUGGAUGGCCACAUCUGCAGGGGAAGUGAACAGUAGUCAGUGUUGGCUUUGCACUGAAUUGACAGAGGCCGCCAGAAGGGGACUACCAUGGAAAAUCAUUCCCGCUAAUGCGACAGAGUGGCUAUGCCACUGCCAAUGGGGUCACAACAAUAAUACCUGCAAUCCAACAUGGACCUCUCUCACUCACACUAAACAGGCACUCUUUGCCCAAGCCCGACAUAGGGCAAAAUCCACCCUCACCUUGCACCAAAAGUCUUUGCUUCCGGCUCGAUAUGCAUGGAAUGGUAUAUAUUAGGAACCAGCUUUGCUAGUUGCUGGAUUUUCUAAGGCUCCCCUUUGCCUAGAGGCAUUAAAUGGCUCCCUUAAUGCCACCUUAGGAUUUCUCCCAUUAGAUAAUUGUAAACACAUUCUCCAAAUCAACAACACUGCCCUCAAUGAAACACAAACCCUUUCCCACUUUAAUGAGAUACUAUUACCACAAUAUAAUUACAGCCAGGUCCUCAUCGUCCCCUGGGGGGCCCUAUGGGUAUGCGGGCUCUCAGGGUGGCGAUAUCUACCCCCACACUGGACAGGAAGAUGCACUUGGGGGUGGCCAUUAAUUCCAUUUACGGUCCAUGAUGACAUUUCUCUCCCUAGUAAUUUAGAAACUUAUAAAUAUCGCUGGUUGCAAGUGCGUCGAACCCCAUGGUGGUGGUAUCCUGUCACAAUACUCUAUCCUGCUGCAGGCACUGUCUUACUCCAGCAGCAAACCAAAGUCUUAAGCUUGCACACAGAAAAGGCUCUUAAUGAUAGUAGUUCUGGGCUUAUGUUAUUAUUAGAUCAACGUGCUCAACUGCGCACAGUUGUCCUGCAGAACCAUGUGGCACCUGACAUGCUUACUGCAGCCCAAGGAGGAGUACACACUAAGUGCUGUGUAUAUAUCCCAGACAAUUCCCGCCAUGUCACCCUUCUUGCGAAAGGUAUGUGGGCGCGAGUACAACGUCUAGAAUCUAGCCGUCAGGACCCCAUCGUGGACUGGCUUUCCAACUGGCAUUGGCGUUGGCCAUGGUGGGUGUGGUUCUUGUUACUUGUGCUUCUGAUUCUCCUCAGCUUACCCUGAUUCUGUAACCUCUACCAAUUAUGUAUUUCCCAUUUAUCUGCAAGGGUAUUUUCCUAAAACUGGGUAUGAAAUUGAGGCCAAAUAUGGAGGAAAAGUUAAAUAUUAAAUUUGAACUCAAUUGAAUGUAGACACAAACAAUGGUCACCAAGUCCCAGAACAGGUUGUGUGAGCCCCUUGAGGCAUUCAUCCAGUGCUGUUUCUGGGAAAUCUCUAUUUCAAUAGAUUGAAAUAGUUAUUGAAAAACAACAGACGAUCGCAAAAAUGAGUUGACCUCUUUGUGUUCCUUGAGCCCAGUCAUGAAGGGCCCUCGUGACUAGGCCUUAUGCCAAACAACUUGUAACAAAAAGAGCUAGGGUCCCAGACUAUGCUGAAGCUUCAUGAGACCUCUCCUAGUCUGUGCGGGACAGGCAGCCGACUCUGGAGCCCAGGCUGUUGCUUCCCGGUCUGGUGAAGCUUCCUCCAUGGUCUGAUUCUACCAAUCCAAAUUUUCCCUGAAGUGUUUUUUUUUUUUUUGUCAGAAGUUUUAUUUUGAAAACUCAAUUAUCCAACUGGGAAAUAUAAAGCUCAAAUGAGGACAUAAAAGUGGAUGAAUUUCUUCCAUUGUUCAUUUUUGCAAAUAUUAAUAAACUAAGUUUUUUUUGUUUUAACAAAUGAAAAUAUUGUUUUGACAAUGCACAUUAAACAUGAAUAUUGCACUACACUCAAAUGAACAAAAAUUAUAAACAAUAUAUCAUGAUUUCAGAAUUAAAAUGUUUUCAGAGUUGUGUGUGUAUUUUGUUAUGCCAGUCCCCAUACCUAAAAUCUCAAUGACAAUUUUUAAAAACUUUGAUGCG
rnacentral:lncRNA from 10 species